CAGUAGCCGCGGUAAUACGGAGGGUGCAAGCGUUAAUCGGAAUUACUGGGCGUAAAGCGCACGCAGGCGGUCUGACAAGUCAGAUGUGAAAUCCCCGGGCUUAACCUGGGAACUGCAUUUGAAACUGUCAGGCUGGAGUCUUGUAGAGGGGGGUGGAAUUCCAGGUGUAGCGGUGAAAUGCGUAGAGAUCUGGAGGAAUACCGGUGGCGAAGGCGGCCCCCUGGACAAAGACUGACGCUCAGGUGCGAAAGCGUGGGGAGCAAACAGGAUUAGAUACCCGUGUAGUCCCUGUCUCUUAUAC
rnacentral:rRNA from 1 species